UUGAAAGAGGCGCGGCGUCCAUCAGUAGCCUCCCGCAACGUCAGGCACGGCGGGAGGGGGAAAGGGGCCGCCGCCGAAGCGCCGCGAUUCCGCCUGGGGAAACGGCGCUGGGGCCGGGGAGAAGAUCUCCGGCACUGUCACGGUCAACCGUGGAGCGCUGUCG
rnacentral:ncRNA from 1 species